rnacentral:misc_RNA from 1 species
AACAUGUCGCAUAACCUAGAUCGAAUCGAAGCCGAUAAAGCAAGUAAACGAAUUAUCUCUCAACGAUAGAGAGAUCGCAGGAAGAACAGGAAACAAAAUAUAGCGAAAGAAAUACCCUCGCUGGGCACCACGCGUCUAUCGCCAGGGGCAACAAGAGAUGCCCGGCGUGCGUGCGUCUCGCUUCUCGGACGCCUCUCGACCGGACCCUCUGCCGCGGACAUCCACUUGUUAGUUAGUCUGUGGCAGCUGAGUGGGGCGGUCGUGCCGGACGAGGCGCGGGAGAUACCUGUUGAUUUCUUUUUUUCUUGAGGAUAUAUAUUGAAAGUGUUCGUGUUAAAAGCACAGUUUGUUCUAUUUUCGCAUUCACGAUGGUGUCUUGAAGGAUACGAGGAGGAGUGUGAUAACCAAGGAAGCAGACGAAAUUGAUUUCCUGAUAGGAGUGUGAGUGAAUAAAUUGGUGCCCUGCGCACAAAAUACCCAGAGUGGAGAGAAGGGGGGGUUAUUAAGCCCACCAUGUUGCCGCCGACCCUACGAGAAACACCAUACCCCUGUGGAAUUAUACCAACAGACAUCUAGUACUGGUAUUACUCGAGACAGAAAACAGUGCGAUGUGGGAGAUGGAUUUCAAGAAGGAGGUUUCGGGGAUGUCAUCUCCCACAGGAGGAGAAGGAGGAGGAGGAGGAGGUCGACCUCGUCCUCAAUGCCACUUGCCUGCCCUCCACCCCACCAGUAUCCGAGGCAUAAAGACCACCGUCAGAUGGACCCUCUCCUUCGGGUGCCUGUGGAUGCUGCUGACGACGCCCCUCCUCGUCUGCGCGGAGUCCAAUGGUUGUGAUUUCUAUGGCAGCGGACUCGAGCAGGACGGCCGAGGAGUCCAGCCGGUGUACCUGAGCUGCUCCUCGGGCCGAGUCGAGUGGCAGUAUCCCCGCGCAGGACUCAGGGUCAUCCUCCGGUCCCCCCACAAGGACCGGGACUUCCAAGCCUGCAUCAAGGGGGACCCCAAGUUCGAAGGCGCCAGGGUCUAUCUCGAGGGUUACCGCUCUCUCCUGCCGCUGUUCGCCCUCGACGACGGCCGCCCUCAGGAGCUGGUGCGCUGCUUCACGAGCUACAAGGGCCAGGCGGCGCUGUACGUCGAGGCCGAGCCCAGCGCCGACGACCUGAAGAAGGAGGUCGCCGCCUUCGACUACGACCUGCAGACGCUCGCCAAGGGAAAGAUUUACGACCCGCUCGAAGAGUGCCGCCCGUGUUCGGAAGACGAGAUCCUCCGCCUCUACUGCUCGGGCGACUUCGUGGCUCGAGGAAGCAUCGAGCGCGUGGAGGACGACUCCGACCUCGCCACGACCACCAUCACCAUCCGGGCCUCGAAGCUCUUCCAGCAGACGUCGCCGGUGUUCAGACACGCCCACGCCCGCGAGAGAGACGAGAAGGCCUGGGAGAGCGCGUACGGCGUCAGCAACAGCAUCCGAGGGGGGGGAGGGGGAGUGGCGGAGUACACGGGCCGCGUCGACGUCCCCAUCCAGUGCGGGGCGCGGGCGGGCGAGGGGGAGUUCCUGGUGAUGGGCGUGAUGAGGCUGGGGAAGCCCAUCCUGCGGUGCGCGCCCAGACACUCCGAGUGGGUGAAGAUCGCCAAAGCCGCCCGGGCCAAUGCCCAGUGUGUGCUGGAAACGUGAGCGUUGUGCAAUUGCAAAAGACGCUUUCUAAGGACGUGAAGUUCCGUGCAAUUGCGAAAGACAGUUUUAUAAGGACGUGAAGUUCCGUGCAAUUGCAAAGGAAUUUCUUAAGGACGUGAAGUUCCGUGCAAUUGCAAAAGACGGUUUCUAAGUACGUGAAGUUUUGUGCAAUUGCGAAAGACAGUUUCCGGAGACGGUGGACUUCGUGCAGUAUAUUUUUUAAAAAGUUCUAGAAACAUUAGAUUUUAUGUUAUUGUAAAGUGAAUGUUCAAGGAACGGUAUAUAUUGUGCAAUUGCAAAAGACAUUUUCUAAAGACAUUUCUCUUGUGCAAUUGCUAAGGGGCAUCGCGGUGUUCCUAAUGUAGUCUUAAAGUGGAAGCGAUUCAGUGACAAAUGACACUCGAAGAUGAGUAACAAGAAGCUCAAUCGAUUAAAUAAUCCACUGAAAGGAGAAGAGACAAUUUUAAAAUAUAUAUCUUGGUGCAAUAAUAGUAGACAUUGCGAUUAACGAAUUUGCAAUGCUACAGCAACACUUUUGCUCCCAGUGUACAUAUACUGAACUUCUGACACAAUGGAAUCAAGGGGAGUGAAGUUCACAGUUUGAACGGAAAGAAAAUUUCUGCAGAGAGGAAUAGGUGUCCUAUGGGCCCCUUUAAACACGUCACACAAAAUCGUGAAACAACUUAAUAGAAAAUUUAUGAAUUGUCAGGUUCCAUGGGAUCUUUUCACAAGCUAAAAAGUUCCAUGAGGCUUUUCACGUGUUAAAAAGUCCCCAUGACGCUUUUCACAAGCUAAAAAAAGACCCCAUGAGGUUUUCACAAGCUAAAAAAGACCCCAUGAGGUUUUCACAAGUUGAAAAAAGACCUCAUGAGGUUUUCACAAGCUAAAAAAGACCCCAUGAGGUUUUCACAAGCUAAAAAAGACCCCAUGAGGUUUUCACAAGCUAAAAAAAGACCCCAUGAGGUUUUCACAAGCUGUAAAAAGACCCCAUGAAGUUUUCACAAGCUAAAAAAAGACCCCAUGAGGUUUUCACAAGCUAAAAAAAA